CCUACGGGAGGCAGCAGUGAGGAAUAUUGGUCAAUGGACGAGAGUCUGAACCAGCCAAGUAGCGUGAAGGAUGACUGCCCUAUGGGUUGUAAACUUCUUUUAUAUGGGAAUAAAGUGCAGUAUGUAUACCGCUUUGCAUGCACCUUAUGAAUAAGGAUCGGCUAACUCCGUGCCAGCAGCCGCGGUAAUACGGAGGAUCCGAGCGUUUUCCGGAUUUAUUGGGUUUAAAGGGAGCGUAGGCGGGUUGAUAAGUCAGUUGUGAAAGUUUGCGGCUCAACCGUAAAAUUGCAGUUGAUACUGGCAUCCUUGAGUACAGUAGAGGUAGGCGGAAUUCGUGGUGUAGCGGUGAAAUGCUUAGAUAUCACGAAGAACUCCGAUUGCGAAGGCAGCCUGCUGGACUGUAACUGACGCUGAUGCUCGAAAGUGUGGGUAUCAAACAGGAUUAGAUACCCUUGUAGUC
rnacentral:rRNA from 1 species